AUGGAGCCGCGCGAGAUCGCCGCCGCCGCGCGAAGCUUCUCGGCGAUGGCGCGGAUCGUCGGCCCGGACCCCAAGGCAGUCAAGAUGCGCCGCCACGCCUUCCACCUCCACCAGUCGGGGUCCACCACGCUGUCGGCGUCGGCCGUCCUCCUGCCGCCGGGCGCCCUGGCGGAGCCUUUGCCGCCGCUUCUAGCCCGUAUAUGCGCGUCCCACGGCCACGCCGGGGGCGUCGCGCUCACGGCCGCGUCGCUCGUCGAGGCGUUCCUGGUCGCGGAGCAGCGCGAUAGCCCCAGCGAGGUACUGCAGCCGAGGUUAAUACCAGAGGCGCGUCUCGAUGUGCUAGUUGAGCCUGAGGAAUCAGGGGACAUCAGACAUGGAGAUUCUGGAGCUCCCCAGUGGCUUUCAGCUGAGUUACUUGCCAUGGUUGAUGUCCCAGCGUCGGCUGAUCCUGUGUUAUCCUUGUUAACAUAUGAUGGUUCACUGAUUGGAAGCUCGUCAUGGGAUGUUGGCUGGCCACUGGCCGAUGUAAAUCAGAAGCAGGUUGAAAAUGAUGCCGGAUCCUUCCUUGAGUACAAUAGGAAGAAUUUAUAUGCUGAGUCUGCUGACCCAUCAACAAUAGCCAAGUCUGCCACAAGAAUCGCUGUACUAGGAGUCUCAGCCUUAACAUCGAGUAAUGCAGGACAUAUCAACGUUCCACCGAUUCCACAGCGAGGGGACUCUUUGCUGGUAGUGGGGUCUCCCUUUGGCAUCCUGUCACCAUUCCAUUUCUUCAACAGUAUAUCAGUUGGUGCUGUUGCAAAUUGCCUACCUCCAGGUGCUGUCAGGAGCUCGCUGCUGAUGGCUGACAUCCACUGUCUUCCUGGUAUGGAAGGUGCUCCAGUGUUUGAUAAAAAUGCUUGUCUUGUGGGGAUGCUGAUGAAGCCAUUAAGACAGAGAGGCAGCAACAUACAAGUUCAGCUUGUGAUUACAUGGGAUGGAAUAUGCACUGCAUGGAGCAGAAACAAACUGGAGCAAAUUGAGCAAGCCUCAAAUGAACUACUUGAUGACAAAAGUGCAGACAGUAAAACGAUGGAAUCAUGUGGCAUGGAUAACCAUAGGAGGUUUGUCUCUAAUUUAGCCAAUGACCUUAGUCAGUAUAGCAUUCCACCUUCACUCAGAGAGGCUAUAUCCUCGGUUGUUCUUGUCACGGUUGGUGAUACAACUUGGGCUUCAGGUAUUCUCCUCAACAAGAAUGGCUUAGUUCUGACAAAUGCUCAUCUUUUGGAGCCUUGGAGAUUUGGGAGAACUUCACCUUUAGGUUUACAACAUAAAACCACCUCACUUGCUGGAGAAUAUCUCCAUGGAGAAAAUAAAUUGUUGCAGUCACAGCAUUGCAAGAUGUCCAAUGAAGAUGCUGUUAAGCAUGAGGUUUCAUUCUUUAAUUUGGGUUCCAAGAGAGAGAAGAGAAUAUCUGUUCGUUUGGAUGAUGGGGAGAAACAGACGUGGUGUAGUGCUAGUGUGGUGUUUAUCUCCAAGGGGCCGCUUGAUGUUGCCUUGCUUCAAAUGGAAAAGAUCGCGAUUGAAUUUUGUGCAAUUAGACCAGAAUUUGUUUGUCCGACAGCAGGGUCGUCUGCAUAUGUUGUUGGGCAUGGUCUUCUUGGACCUCGAUCAGGUCUAUGUUCCUCGCUUUCCUCUGGGGUUGUCUCGAAAGUUGUCCAAAUUCCAUCAGCUCAACAUUCUCAUCUGCCUAGCAAUGUGCAGACAGACAAUAUGGACCUGCCAGUAAUGCUGCAGACAACAGCGGCAGUUCAUCCUGGAUCUAGUGGUGGUGUAAUUGUCAAUUCACAUGGUCGAAUGGUUGGACUUAUAACAAGCAAUGCUAAGCAUGGCGGUGGGAGCACAAUACCUCGUCUGAAUUUUAGCAUCCCCUGCAAAUCUCUGGAAAUGGUCUUCAAGUAUGCAGCGAAUGGAGAUUACACAAUUUUGGAGCAGCUGGAUAAACCAAAUGAAUUGCUCUCAUCAGUGUGGGCACUGGCACAAGCACCAUCAUCUCUCCCAUUUCUCAGUAGCCCCCCUGGGAAGAGCGGGGAGGGGAAAGUUUCGGAGUUCUCAAAGUUUCUCGCCAAUCAGAAAGAAGGUUUGACAUCUAUAAGUGAUUUGGAGGCUUUCCUUAAACACAAGAUUCCUAGUAAAAUUUAG
rnacentral:rRNA from 1 species